rnacentral:rRNA from 1 species
GAUGAACGCUGGCGGCGUGCCUAAUACAUGCAAGUCGAGCGAAUGGAUUAAGAGCUUGCUCUUAUGAAGUUAGCGGCGGACGGGUGAGUAACACGUGGGUAACCUGCCCAUAAGACUGGGAUAACUCCGGGAAACCGGGGCUAAUACCGGAUAACAUUUUGAACCGCAUGGUUCGAAAUUGAAAGGCGGCUUCGGCUGUCACUUAUGGAUGGACCCGGGUCGCAUUAGCUAGUUGGUGAGGUAACGGCUCACCAAGGCAACGAUGCGUAGCCGACCUGAGGGGGUGAUCGGCCACAUUGGGAAUGAGACACGGCCAAGACUCCUACGGGAGGCAGCAGUAGGGAAUCUUCCGCAAUGGACGAAAGUCUGACGGAGCAACGCCGCGUGAGUGAUGAAGGCUUUCGGGUCGUAAAACUCUGUUGUUAGGGAAGAACAAGUGCUAGUUGAAUAAGCUGGCACCUUGACGGUACCUAACCAGAAAGCCACGGCUAACUACGUGCCAGCCGCCGCCGUAA